AACACAUGCAAGUCGAGCGGAGAUGAGGUGCUUGCACCUUAUCUUAGCGGCGGACGGGUGAGUAAUGCUUAGGAAUCUGCCUAUUAGUGGGGGACAACAUUCCGAAAGGAAUGCUAAUACCGCAUACGUCCUACGGGAGAAAGCAGGGGAUCUUCGGACCUUGCGCUAAUAGAUGAGCCUAAGUCGGAUUAGCUAGUUGGUGGGGUAAAGGCCUACCAAGGCGACGAUCUGUAGCGGGUCUGAGAGGAUGAUCCGCCACACUGGGACUGAGACACGGCCCAGACUCCUACGGGAGGCAGCAGUGGGGAAUAUUGGACAAUGGGGGAACCCUGAUCCAGCCAUGCCGCGUGUGUGAAGAAGGCCUUAUGGUUGUAAAGCACUUUAAGCGAGGAGGAGGCUACCGAGAUUAAUACUCUUGGAUAGUGGACGUUACUCGCAGAAUAAGCACCGGCUAACUCUGUG
rnacentral:rRNA from 1 species